rnacentral:rRNA from 1 species
GCGAAAACUUUACAAUGCUGGCAACAGCGAUAAGGGACCCUCGAGUGCCAGGUUACAAAUCUGGCUGUCGAGAUGCCUAAAAAGCAUUUCAUAGCAAGGGCCAGGCCAGACCGGUGCCAGCCGCCGCGGUAACACCGGCGGCUCGAGUGGUAACCGUUAUUAUUGGGUCUAAAGGGUCUGUAGCCGGCCGGAUAAGUCUCUUGAGAAAUCUGGCAGCUUAACUGGUAGGCCUUCAGGAGAGACUGUCUGGCUCGAGGCCGGGAGAUGUGAGAGGUACUUCAGGGGUAGGGGUGAAAUCUUGUUAUCCUUGAAGGACCACCAGUGGCGAAGGCGUCUCACCAGAACGGACCUGACGGCAAGGGACGAAAGCUAGGGGCACGAACC